UACGUAGGGGGCAAGCGUUGUCCGGAUUUAUUGGGCGUAAAGAGCGUGUAGGCGGCUUUACAGGUCCGUUGUGAAAACUGGAGGCUCAACCUUCAGAGGUCAACCGAAACCAUCUGGCUAGAGUCCGGGAGAGGAGAGUGGAAUUCCUGGUGUAGCGGUGAAAUGCGCAGAUAUCAGGAAGAACACCCGUGGCGAAAGCGGCUCUCUGGAACGGUACUGACGCUGAGACGCGAAAGCGUGGGGAGCGAACAGG
rnacentral:rRNA from 1 species